rnacentral:tRNA from 1 species
GCCUUUGUGGCUUAGUCGUAGAGCGACUGAUUCGUAAAAUCAACUGGUUCGAAUCAUCAGUAGGCCGGGGGUUCAACUCCCCCCAGAGGCUC